rnacentral:rRNA from 1 species
GACGAAUGCUGGCGGCGUGCCUAAUACAUGCAAGUCGAACGCAGUGGGGACGGGUGAGUAACACGUGGGUAACCUCCCAUCAGAGGGGAUAACACUUGGAAACAGGUGCUAAACCGAUACUGAUGGAUGAACCCGCGGUGCAUUAGCUAGUUGGUGAGGUAACGGCUCACCAAGGCCACGAUGAAUAGCCGCCCUGAGAGGAGUAUCUGCCAAACUGGGACGGAGAGACGGCCCAGACUCUUACGGGAGGCAGCAGUAGGGAAUUGGGGGCAAUGGACGAAAGCCUGACCGAGCAACGCCGCGUGAGUGAAGAAUGUUUUCGGAUAGUAAAACUCUGUGGUUAGAGAAGCGGUACCUAAACAGAAAGCCACGGCUAACUACGGGCCAGCAGCCGAGGUAAUAC